rnacentral:rRNA from 1 species
UACGUAGGGCGCAAGCGUUGUCCGGAAUUAUUGGGCGUAAAGAGCUCGUAGGCGGCUUGUUACGUCUGCUGUGAAAUCCCAGGGCUUAACCUGGGAAUUGCGUUGGAGACUGCAAGGCUGGAGUCUGGCAGAGGGGGUAGAAUUCCACGUGUGAGCAGUGAAAUGCGUAGAUAUGGUGGAGGAACACCAGUGGCGAAGGCGGCGACCUGGGCCAUAUUGACGCUGAGGUGCGGAAAGCGUGGGGAGCAAACAGGG